CUACGGGAGGCAGCAGUAAGGGAUAUUGCGACAAUGGGCGAAAGCCUGACGCAGCAACGCCGCGUGCGGGAUGACAGCCUUCGGGUUGUAAACCGCUUUUGGAGGGGAAGAGGAAGGACGGUACCCUUCGAAGAAGUCUCGGCUAACUACGUGCCAGCAGCCGCGGUAAAACGUAGGAGGCGAGCGUUAUCCGGAUUUACUGGGUGUAAAGCGCGAGCAGGCGGUUUUUCAAGUGGCGUGUGAAAGCGCCCGGCUCAACCGGGCGAGGACGGGCCAGACUGAGAGACUGGAGACAGGCAGAGGCGGAUGGAAUUCCGGGUGUAGUGGUGAAAUGCGUAGAGAUCCGGAGGAACACCAGUGGCGAAGGCGGUCCGCUGGGCCUUGUCUGACGCUCAGACGCGAAAGCAUGGGGAGCGAACGGGAUUAGAUACCCCGGUAGU
rnacentral:rRNA from 1 species